rnacentral:rRNA from 1 species
UACGAAGGGGGGCUAGCGUUGUUCGGAAUUACUGGGCGUAAAGCGCGCGUAGGCGGUGAUCUUUGUCAGAGGUGAAAUCCCGGGGCUCAACUCCGGAAUUGCCUUUGAAACGGGAUCGCUUGAGUCCGAGAGAGGAUGGCGGAAUUCCUAGUGUAGAGGUGAAAUUCGUAGAUAUUAGGAAGAACACCGGUGGCGAAGGCGGCCAUCUGGCUCGGUACUGACGCUCAGGCGCGAAAGCGUGGGGAGCAAACAGGG